rnacentral:rRNA from 1 species
AAUAAUUUAUAAAUAAUAAAAAUAAUUUUAAUAUUAAAAUGGGGGUUUUAGUAUUAAUAAAAAAAAAAUUAUAAAUUUUAUAGUCAAUUAGUAUUGUAUAAGAAAUUUUAAAUAAAUUUGAAAAUGAAUUUAUUUAAAAGUAAAUUUUAUUUAUUGUAUCUUGUGUAUCAGAGUUUAUUAAUUAAAAUUUUAGUUAAAAUAUUUCUCGAAUUAAAAAGAGAUAAUUAAUUAUAAAAGUUAUUGUAGCAUAAAUAUUUUUAAUAAUUAAUUUGAAAUGAAAUGUUAAUCGUUUUUUAAGAUAUCUAGUUUUUUUAGAAAAAAAUUUAAUUUUAUUUUUUCUUUAUAAUAAAUUAAUUAAUUAAUUUAUUAUAAGUAAAAAAUUAUAUUUUAAGGGAUAAGCUUUAAAUUAAAUAUUUAUAAUAAUAAUAAUGUAUUAAUUAAAAUUUUUAAAAUUUAUAUUGUUUAUAAUUUUUAAUUUAUUAUAAAUUAAUUUUAAUUAAAUUAAAAUUUAAAAAAGUUUAAUUUUUUAUAAAAAAAUAAUUUUUAAUAAUUAAAAAUUAAUUAUAAUGAUAAAAUUAGUAUUUAAUAAUUAAAUAGUAUUAAUAAUUUAUUGAAAAAUAAAAUUAAGUAAUUCGGCAAAAUUUUAUAUUCACUUGUUUAUCAAAAACAUGUCUUUUUGAAUAAUAAUUUAAAGUCUAAUCUGCCCACUGAUUUUUAAUUAAAGGGCUGCAGUAUAUUGACUGUACAAAGGUAGCAUAAUCAUUAGUCUCUUAAUUGGUGACUUGUAUGAAAGAUUGGAUGAAAUAUAAACUGUCUCAAUUUUAUUAAAAAAAUUUAAUUUUUUAAUUAAAAAGUUAAAAUAAACUUAAAAGACGAGAAGACCCUAUAGAGUUUGAUAAAUUUUUUUAUUAAAAUUAUUUAUAUAGUUAAUAAUUAAAAUAAUAAUAUUUAUUUUGUUGGGGUGAUAGAAAAAUAUAAUUAACUUUUUUUUAAUAAGAUUCAUUAAUAAGUGAGUAUAUGAUCCAAAAUUAUUUUGAUUAAAAGAAAAAAUUACCUUAGGGAUAACAGCGUAAUUUUUUUUUUUAGUUCAAAUAAAAAAAAAAGUUUGCGACCUCGAUGUUGGAUUAAGAUAAAAUUUAUAUGCAAAAGUCUAAAAUUUUGAUCUGUUCGAUCAUUAAAAUCUUACAUGAUCUGAGUUCAAACCGGUGUGAGCCAGGUUGGUUUCUAUCUUUAAAUAAAAAAAAUAUUUUAGUACGAAAGGAAUAAAUAUUUAAAUUAAAUUUAAUUAAAGAAUUUUAUUAAUG